GAAAUAGUAAUCAAAUAUGAACAAGUUGCAUUCACUCAAAUAAAUAUGCUCGAUGAAAAAUGGACUGACUAACCUUAGCCAAAACACAGUAGAUUUAAAAAGCCAACAGGAAUUCAGAGCUGGAUACUCUAUUUUAUGAGUUGCAUGGCACCAAAGCACUCAUAUAGGCAGGGAAAAUGCAUAUGAAUAAUAGCUUCGAGAUCUAAAUGUCUGGUCUCAGCUGAAACUACAACUUUGUUCAACACGAGAGGUGCAGGACCAAGGGAGAAAAUGUUGAUGUUAGGUCAUUAGCAUCCGGAGCAAGAAAUUGCCUCAUGAGGCUUCUCUACUUUGCAAGAUGUGAAGAUGGACUGGAUUUCUUUAAAUAAAAAGAUCUCCUGGAUAUUUGAAACAACAGUUUGUGGGCACAAGCAAACUGCUUUUUAUGCAAUUUAUUCUGUAGUCAAAAGUAAAAUGAGACUUCUUUUUGGUUGGGAGGGAAUGACAGUGGACAUGCAUUUAGAAGCACAGUGGUUAGUUUGACAAAACAAAAAUUGCUCUCCCUCUCUAACUCUCUGUGCGCGCGCGCGUGACUGUGUGGGGAGUGUGCAUUCUUCCUCUUAGGGCAUGUUUUGUAUUCCUAAACAAAGUGCUCUUGUGACUUUAAAAAAUCACUUCGUAGAAAAACAAAUGCUUGGUAGCAUUUUUUUUUAAAAAAUAUGUCUACAAGAAAGACAGAAAAGGCGCUUCAGGACAAGCUAGAAAACCUAGCUUCUAGCUUCUUUUCUUUUAUAAGAAGCAAGUCAUGAGUCAACUAGUGGUCUAACAAAAGGCUGAGCUGGACAGAUGGUGAGGCAAUAAUAGUCAAAUUUAAGUUGAGAUGGACAAGUAGCAUAAUGAACAAGAAAAAUAGCCUGCCAUAACAAUAGGUUAAUGUGAUGAUUGAGAGGAUAAGUUGUUCUAACAAAUGCAUAGAAAUAAAGGUUUUCUCAAAAUCUCUCUCUCUCUCUCUCUCUCUCUACNNNNNNNNNNNNNNNNNNNNAAAUAGUCAUAGUAAAUAAAAGGUUUUACUUCUAAUACUCUCUCUCUCUCUCUCUCUCUCUCUCUCUGUGUGUGUGUGUGUGUGUGUGUGUUCUUCCUCUCUAAGAACAGGGAUGAGAAGCAAAUGAUGGAUCAAAAAAUAGUCUGAUUAAGGCUGAGCUGGACAAAUGGCAAGGCAAGAACAGUCAAAUUUUAGUUAAGAUGGAUGUGUAACAUGAGCAAAAGAAAAAUAGCCUACUGCAACAGUUGGCUAAUGUGAUGAUUCAGAGGAUAAGGUUUUUCUAACAAAUGCUUAGAAAUAAAAGUUUUCUCAAAAAGUAUAUGGGAAGGACUGAACUCCUCGCGAGAGAAAAGGGUAUCUACUGCUCUCAAGUUUAAAAUCACUAAUUGGGCAUCCAAAUUGAAGAUCCAUUCCGUUUGAUCAUGAUCUAUACAACUAAAACACCUAGAAACCAAAAAUCAUGUAUUUUGGUGGUCUCUAACCUAUGUACCAAGUGGUUGCAAACAUGUACAGUUAAAAUGAUAUGAGACUGUUUUUUGCUAUGAUCUAAAGCACUAAACUCUAUUAAUUUUCAAUCUAUACAUGUUUUAACAUGAUGAAUAAGGUGCAUUCUCAAUACAAACACCUUAUCAUUUAUUUUAGCAGACUGGCAGAAUAAAAACAGUCCAUUUUUGUGUCUAUUAGAUAUGUAGGUUAGAGACCACCAAGAAACAAGAUUUUUUCGUUUCUAGAAAUUUUAGUUGCAUAGAUCAUAAUCAACAGUAUGUAUUUUCAUUUGAAUGUUUGAUUAUUGAUUUUGGACAUGAGAAAAGUUGAUACCUUCUCCCCAAAGAGGAGAAUAGUCCAUCUCUCUCUCUCUCUCUCUCUCUCAUAAGCAUUAUGAAAAGUGUAUGUAUAUUCAACCUUAUCAACAUUCACAAAAUAAGAUAUUAAUUUUGCAUUGACAAGUUCCAUAAAUAUGGAAUUUUCAAUGCAAAAACAAUAUUAAAUUUUUGCACACACUAGUUGUGCCAAAAGGCAUCAUUUAUACUUAUUAUUACUUAUAAUGUUAUGUUUAAACAACUAAUAAAGGCUAUUGCAGUCAGUAAUAAAAUAACUUAAAUAACACAUAUUGACAUGAAAAAUCACUCUAAUAGAUGUUAUGAAAAGUGAUAUAAAUGUCUCAUCUCAGCCGAAACUGCAUCUUCACUCAACUGAAGAAGUGCAGGACUGAGGGAGAGAAUUGAUAGUAGUCCAUUAGCAUUCAAAGCAAGAAACAGCCAUGCAAGGCUCUUCCGCUUUGCCAAGAUGGACUAGAUAUUUGAGACAACAAUUUUCUAAACAACCAACCUUUUACCAUUUAUGCAACAUAAAUUCGUGGAGUGGAUAUGCCCUUAGAUGGGUGGUAGUUGGGAAUAGAAGAUGGAACCUCCUCAAACGUCCAUUCCCCUUUCUCCUAAAACAAGGUAUUCUUUUCUCUCCAGAGAUUCUCAUGUGGCAGGAAGAGGUUUGAAGGCAAUUUCUCAGAAAGAAAAAAGAAAGAUGCUCAAAAAAAAAAGCCGGAACCAAAUUGAUACAGGGGUCAAUAAAAAGCAGCCAAAAAUAACAAUAGACCGAUUCUUGGACUGAUAGUGUUUUCCAAGAAAUGUAAAGUCAUAGGGGUUCCUCUUGAAAUUUCCCUUGUCGUAAAAACAACCAAAUUAAUCACUUCUGGCACCUCCUAUUGUAGUAUAUUAUAUAUCAAC
rnacentral:lncRNA from 1 species